rnacentral:rRNA from 1 species
GGUCUAACCGGGAAAUGCGUCUGAUACUGAUGUCUGAGUUCGGAGACGAUGCGACUCCUGAUGCAUCGUGAAUUGGUAGAUAUCUGCAGAACACUGAUGCGAUGGCGCAUCUGGUUCAACACUCAGUUCAGAGCGAAAGCCAGAGGAGCAAACGGGAUCAGAUACUCCUGUAGUCAUGUCCGUAUACGACGAAUGCUCGUUGAGUCGGGUAUCGAUCCCUGCCGUGCAGAAGCUACCGCAUUAAGCAUUCUGCCUGGGGAGUACGGUCGCAGUUCUGAUACUCAAAAGAUUUGACGGGGGCCUGCACAAGCGGUGGAGCAUGUGGAUCAAUUCGACGCAACGCGAAGAACCUUAGCCAGGCUUGAACAGCGAGUGAGCACUCUCUAAAGUGAGCUUCCGCAAGGACACUCGUAGAGGUGCUGCAUGGCUGUCAUCAGCUCGUGUAGUGAGAUGUUGGGUUAAGUCCCGCAUCGAGCGCAACCCUUGUCGUCGUCAGCCAUCAGGUUAUGCUGGGCACUCUGGAGAGACUGCCGGUGAUAAACCGGAGGAAGGUGGGGAAGACGUCAAGUCAGCAUGGCCUUUAUGUCUGGGGCUACACACGUGUUCCAAUGGCCGGCACAAACCGUCGCGAGCCCGCGAGGGGGAGCUAAUCCGAGAAAGUCGGUCUCAGUUCGGAUAGCCGGCUGCAACCUGCCUGCUUGAAAAAGGAAUCGCUCGUAAUCGAGGAUCAGCACGCCGCGGUGAAUACGUUCCCGGGCCUUGUACACACCGCCCGUCACAUCACGAAAGCCGGUUGUACUAGAAGUUGCCACACCAACCCGCAAGGGAGGGAGGCGCCUAAGGUAUGGUCGGUGAUUGGGGUGAAGUCGUAACAAGGUAACC